UACGAAGGGGGCUAGCGUUGUUCGGAAUUACUGGGCGUAAAGCGCGCGCAGGCGGUUCUCCAAGUCAGUGGUGAAAGCCCGGAGCUCAACUCCGGAACUGCCAUUGAAACUGUUGAACUUGAGGACGAGAGAGGUGAGUGGAAUUCCCAGUGUAGAGGUGAAAUUCGUAGAUAUUGGGAAGAACACCGGUGGCGAAGGCGGCUCACUGGCUCAUUACUGACGCUCAGGCGCGAUAGCGUGGGGAUCAAACAGG
rnacentral:rRNA from 1 species